UAGGGAAUCUUCGGCAAUGGACGAAAGUCUGACCGAGCAACGCCGCGUGAGUGAAGAAGGUUUUCGGAUCGUAAAACUCUGUUGUUAGAGAAGAACAAGGACGUUAGUAACUGAACGUCCCCUGACGGUAUCUAACCAGAAAGCCACGGCUAACUACGUGCCAGCAGCCGCGGUAAUACGUAGGUGGCAAGCGUUGUCCGGAUUUAUUGGGCGUAAAGCGAGCGCAGGCGGUUUCUUAAGUCUGAUGUGAAAGCCCCCGGCUCAACCGGGGAGGGUCAUUGGAAACUGGGAGACUUGAGUGCAGAAGAGGAGAGUGGAAUUCCAGGUGUAGCGGUGAAAUGCGUAGAUAUAUGGGGGAACACCAGUGGCGAAGGCGGCUCUCUGGUCUGUAACUGACGCUGAGGCUCGAAAGCGUGGGGAGCAAACAGG
rnacentral:rRNA from 1 species